UGGGGAAUAUUGCACAAUGGGCGAAAGCCUGAUGCAGCAACGCCGCGUGAGUGAUGAAGGUCUUCGGGUUGUAAAGCUCUGUCUUUUGGGACGAUAAUGACGGUACCAAAGGAGGAAGCCACGGCUAACUACGUGCCAGCAGCCGCGGUAAUACGUAGGUGGCAAGCGUUGUCCGGAUUUACUGGGCGUAAAGGAUGCGUAGGCGGAUUUUUAAGUGAGAUGUGAAAUACCCGGGCUUAACUUGGGUGCUGCAUUUCAAACUGGGAAUCUAGAGUGCGGGAGAGGAGAAUGGAAUUCCUAGUGUAGCGGUGAAAAUGCGUAGAGAUUAGGAAGAACACCAGUGGCGAAAGGCGAUUCUCUGGACCGUAACUGACGCUGAGGCAUGAAAAGCGUGGGUAGCAAAACAGGAUUAGAUACCCUGGUAGUCCACGCCGUAAACGAUGAGUACUAGGUGUAGGAGGUAUCGACCCCUUCUGUGCCGCAGUUAACACAAUAAGUACUCCGCCUGGGAAGUACGAUCGCAAGAUUAAAAACUUAAAAGG
rnacentral:rRNA from 1 species